UGCAUCAUUAUGAUUAUAACUAGGGUAUAAAUUCGUUAUUCUUUAGUUGUUUUCUUUAAAUUUACUCAAACUCUUUAUUUGUCAACAGUUAAAGUCUAAUCGAUAAAUAUAGAUUCCUGUAUUUACAUAGCAAUGGACGAAUUGAAGAAAACAUUAUUGUGCAUUUAUUUUGUUGUGGUAACAAUGUGUGUGACAAUGUCAAGUGGAUUCAUUUUAACUGAGAAUUUACAAAAUUCAAAAUCGAAAGAAACUCAUAGUAUGUCCGUAUGAUUUUAUACUAUUUAGAAUUUAUGUAGCUACAUCUUCAGUUCGUGCUUUAUUUACUUGUGAGUUUUUUUAAAUUGUAUUUACGUAUUAUUGUA